UACGGGGGGGACAAGCGUUGUUCGGAAUUACUGGGCGUAAAGGGUUCGUAGGUGGCUCGCUAAGCCAGACGUGAAAUCCCUCAGCUUAACUGGGGAACUGCGUCUGGGACUGGAGAGCUUGAGUGCAGGAGAGGAAUGCGGAAUUCCAGGUGUAGCGGUGAAAUGCGUAGAUAUCUGGAGGAACACCGGUGGCGAAGGCGGCAUUCUGGACUGCAACUGACACUGAGGAACGAAAGCCAGGGGAGCAAACGGG
rnacentral:rRNA from 1 species